CUUAUGUCAUGGCUACAGUCCAGUCAUCAUGUAAUUAACUUGUCCACCUGGGGUUUCAGUUAUUUAUAAUACAACUCACAGGACAUGGCUCAGAAUAUUAUCUAUAGUCCUUGAGGAGGAACUAAAGGUCCUUGGCUAUGCUUAGUGGCUGAACUAUUAUUAUUUAGUCUUGUUGGACUGUUUUCUUUUGCUUCUGCAUUUUCUCACUUCUCUGAUUACAUUUAUUCUUUGGCUAAAAUUUUCCCACAAAUGGAAGACUGAGGACAUGAGACACAAGGCCAUAGAGUACUGCUCCCUUUAGAAAAUGGUAAGACGAAGCUUUCAGCAAGGAGAGUUUAUUUAUAAGGCAGCCAAGCUGACAUGAAAGAACAAAUCUCAAGACCCCCUCCCCCAAAGCAAGGGGCUUGAGGUAUUUAAGGGAUACGGAAUAAAAUAACAGAGGGGUCUGAGGCCUGGGGAGAGUGGCAACAGGUGAUUGGAAAAAGGUGCGAUAACCCUCCUUCUGCGCAGGCGUAAUUAAGAUACGCUCCUCUUCACAUUCCGAAGGUUACUCAGAGGAGCCUUAUAGGAAAUGGCCUGGAGGUAAGUAGGAGCCCCAUUUCACGGAGGAACUGAAAUUGUUACUGGGUGGCUGGAGCACAGAGUAUCAGCAUUGGCAGGAGAUUUGGAAAAGGCUCUCCAUGGGAAUGGAAGCAAGAGUCUCUUUGAAAAUGGGACCAGUGGAGAAGAAGAAAAAGCAGGAAGAAGGCAGGCAGUUAUUCUCAGACUGGAGCUGAAGUAGAAUUGUUAGAUUAAAAGGUUUGUUCAUAGUGAUGCUUUCUAAGGCCCACUUGACUUCACAUUCCAGGAUGUCGGGCUCUAGUGAGAGGAUGGGCACAUGACUUAGGCUCAACCAAGAAGAUGCACUUACUCUAGUCUUUGAAAUAGAAGCUCAUUUGGCAAAGAAGGAAAAGAAGAAGAUGAUAUAUUCUGGAAUGGUGGCAACCACAUCAACUUUCCAGGGCAACAGUAGUGGUUCUGAUAUGGGGUUAUCUAUUGUUCAGUGGGCAAUGGAGCAAGCUGUGGGGUCCUUUGUUCACCAUUCCUUAAGUGUAACUUUAGGCAAACCACUUAAUUUUUCCAACCCUCAAGGUAAAUUCUGUAAAAAUUGUUAUAGUGAUAUCUAUUCACCAUGUGACUAUAAGUAAAUAAGUUUGGUAAAUAUUUCAUGUUUGGAGAUACAUACAGAUCUUAUGAAUUUCUCUGGACACAAAGUUCUCAAAUGUGCCACUAAAUAGAGAUGCUGGCUAGCACUUAUAAGCUCUUCUUAGGGAAAAAAAUGAUGGUAAAUUGCUAUUUUAAGGUCUUUUCAUACCUCUCUUAGGUCUCCCUUUACGUAUUCAGUAACUCUGCCUCCCAGAGAAGGUGAUGGCACCUCACUCCAGUACUCUUGCC
ensembl:lncRNA